rnacentral:rRNA from 1 species
GAGGGGUAUAGUAGCAAUACUAGAGACCGGCGCACGGGUGCGUAACGCGUAUGCAAUCUACCUUUUGCAGAGGGAUAGCCCAGAGAAAUUUGGAUUAAUACCUCAUAGUAUAGCAACUUCGCAUGAAGUCACUAUUAAAGUCACAACGGCAAAAGAUGAGCAUGCGUCCCAUUAGCUAGUUGGUAAGGUAACGGCUUACCAAGGCGACGAUGGGUAGGGGUCCUGAGAGGGAGAUCCCCCACACUGGUACUGAGACACGGACCAGACUCCUACGGGAGGCAGCAGUGAGGAAUAUUGGUCAAUGGGCGCAAGCCUGAACCAGCCAUGCCGCGUGCAGGAUGACGGUCCUAUGGAUUGUAAACUGCUUUUGUACGGGAAGAAACCCUCCAACGUGUUGGAGCUUGACGGUACCGUAAGAAUAAGGAUCGGCUAACUCCGUGCCAGCAGCCGCGGUAAUACGGAGGAUCCAAGCGUUAUCCGGAAUCAUUGGGUUUAAAGGGUCCGUAGGCGGUUUUGUAAGUCAGUGGUGAAAGCCCAUCGCUCAACGGUGGAACGGCCAUUGAUACUGCAAGACUUGAAUUAUUAGGAAGUAACUAGAGUAUGUAGUGUAGCGGUGAAAUGCUUAGAGAUUACAUGGAAUACCAAUUGCGAAGGCAGGUUACUACUAAUGGAUUGACGCUGAUGGACGAAAGCGUGGGUAGCGAAC